UACGUAGGUGGCGAGCGUUGUCCGGAUUUACUGGGCGUAAAGGGCGCGUAGGCGGUCAGCACAAGUCAGUUGUGAAAUCUCCGGGCUUAACUCGGAAAGGUCAACUGAUACUGUGCGACUAGAGUGCAGAAGGGGCAACUGGAAUUCUCGGUGUAGCGGUGAAAUGCGUAGAUAUCGAGAGGAACACCUGCGGCGAAGGCGGGUUGCUGGGCUGACACUGACGCUGAGGCGCGAAAGCCAGGGGAGCGAACGGG
rnacentral:rRNA from 1 species